AAAUUGGCAGAACUACUAGCCUUGCUCAAGGUCAGAGAAGCAAGAGCAUAACGUCCAAAUAUUUUGACAAUGUCUCACUACCCUAUUCACUGCAACAUAUUCCAAAGAAACUGAACUGCUUGCUGUGGAAGAGGAAGCUCAAGGUCAGAAAAACAGAAGAUCCUGAAGCCAGAACACCAAAUAACUCACAGAAUCUUCACUGACUUGAUUUUCAUUGUUUGCUAAGUCCACCCAAAUACACUGUCCUAGGCAGUCAGCGUUCUGACCCAACUUCUGUGGGUUGUGGUUCCAAAGUCCAUUCCAUUUUCAAAGCCUUUACAGCACUAUCCAGAUGGAAUUUCUUGAACAUACAUGGAAAGGAACUGAGAUGAAAAGAGGCACUCUUGAGCAGCCCAGGUUGGCUCAGCGGUUUAGCACUACGUUCAUCCCAGGGCCUGAUCCCGGGAUCGAGUUCCACGUCGGGCUCCCUGCAUGGAGCCUGCUUCUCCUUCUGCCUGUGU